rnacentral:rRNA from 1 species
GUGGGGAAUCUUCCGCAAUGGACGAAAGUCUGACGGAGCGACGCCGCGUGAGUGAAGAAGGCCUUCGGGUCGUAAAGCUCUGUCAUCAGGGACGAACGGCCGGUGGAGUGGAAAGCCACCGGAUUGACGGUACCUGAGAAGGAAGCCACGGCUAACUACGUGCCAGCAGCCGCGGUAAUACGUAGGUGGCAAGCGUUGUCCGGAAUUAUUGGGCGUAAAGCGCGCGCAGGUGGGAUCUUAAGUCCAGUUUUAAAGUUCGGAGCUCAACUCCGUGAUGGGAUGGAAACUGUGAUUCUUGAGUACCGGAUAGGAAAGCGGAAUUCCCCGUGUAGCGGUGAAAUGCGUAGAUAUGGGGAGGAACACCAGUGGCGAAGGCGGCUUUCUGGACGGUGUCUGACACUGAGGCGCGAAAGCCAGGGGAGCGAACGGGAUUAGAUACCCUGGUAGUCC